CUCCGACACUUCCGGUAAUUUUACGGCAGCCUGGUUUCCUUCCACCAACAGAGAUGUCAGCUGGUUGAGAGAUGACAUGUACACAUUGCUACAUAAUACAGCAAACAAACAACGACGAAAUAAACUUUAGCAGACACACGUGAUUACGCGACGCAAACAUUGCUUCGACGCGACAAAGUAAAUCUUGAAGAGUGAACGCGAAAUGGGUGAGCAGAAAUGUGUUGUCUAGUCAGCUGACUAGCCUGAUAACAGCAACUGGAAUUAAUGCAAACUUUUUGCAGAUAGAAGUGGCUCGUUUAACAAAUGUCUGGAGUUGUUUUUGCAUUUAUUUUAACGGAAAAUAAGUUCAAGACCAAGUAUUCGAAAAACACGUUUGCUUUCUGAAUGAGGAAAUAGAGUUUUCCAGCACUGUGUCUGUCCGAAGAAAUUACUAACACUUUUUUUCGCGCGUUUUGCUCUUCAAGAUUAGCUUUAUAACCACUAUGCCUGUCAAAGCUGUUAGCCACUCCCAGCUUUUACUGCUGUCAGGAAGUCACUGAUGCCCUACAUAGUGAUCACCCUAAACUGAAGAAAACAGACGUAGUUUAUGUUUAAACCGUCCAAGAGCAUUUGGAGCAAAAGACAGAUCAUGUGGCUUCAGCAGAGAUUAAAGGGGCUGCCUGGUUUACUUUCAAGCAGCUGGGCCCGCCGUGUUUUGGUUGGAUUACUGCUCUUCCUCAUUUUCUACUGGUACUUGAGCUCAGAUGGGCUCCUGAAGUUUCUAAGCUUAUCCAGGGAGACCGGGGGAGCUGCGGGGGUGUGUUUGCAGACUGAUCUUCACAGGUGGGAGCCGCUGGUUGACAGAGGGGAGGGGGUGGUUCUUACCCCCCAAACCAAAGAAUCAGUUCCGUUUGUGGUCGGUAAUGGACAUUUUUUGGUGGAUGUGGACUCUAACAAACUCUGGAUAGCUUCAUCUUCACAGCCUGGGUCUGCGCCGGUUCACCAAACAGACUACAGCCCGAUUGUGCGGUUGCAGGUGCCAGGAACGCGCUCGGAAGCUCGGGGAAUGAUGCUGUGGUACAGAAAAGGCUCUGUGCUGUCCUCCCGGUGCUUCUUGACAGCUACUUCUCAUGACUGUAUAGUCAUACGCGAGGAAUUUGUUGCGCAUCGCAGCCGACCCAAUGUUUAUAUUCAGAGGAUUCACAUAUCAAACCCUACAGACCAUGUGGUCUCGAUUGACGUGGCCAUGGAGUCACUUUCAUUUAGGAGCACCGUGGAGAUAAUGGAGGACAAAGAAUUUGUGCUCUCCACAGGUAAGGUGCUCACGGAAAAGAAGGACACUGUGUUAGUGGUGGUGGCCACAAAGAAACUGGGCACCAAGAUCCAGGUUCCUCCCAAAUCUGAAUACUCAGAAAGCCUGGUGAGUGUGAUUCACACUUCGGAGCCCACCGAAGUUGGGAAACUGGACGAGACUCUCGGCAAGCUCAGAGAAGGAGUCAAAAGAGAGAUGACGGAUCUCAUGCGAGCUAAUGUGGAAGAAUUCAUGCAAGAGCACCAGCAAGCAUGGGUGGAUCUCUUCAUAUCUGGUGUGGAAAUCAGAAAGAUCACAGACGCCCAUACUCCAUCCAGUCGUACAGUCAACAACACCCUAUACUACAUUCUGUCGACCUCCACAGCACCCAUACUAGAUCAGAGUCUCACAGCAGAAGAGCACGAACGCCUGGAGUCCAGUCUGAAUUACGCCGACCACUGCUUCAGCGGCCACGCCACCAUGCAUGCUGAGAACCUGUGGCCAGAGCGUCUGACAAACGUAGCUCAGAUCCUGCAGCUUGUGAAUCUCUGGAACUUGACUUUCCAGAAAAGAGGAUGCAAAGUACUUGUUGCAGCAGGCACUCAUGGUAUGAUGCAAGGCAUGGUCCUUAGUUUUGGAGGUCUGCAGUUCACAGAAAACCACCUUCAGUUCCAGGCAGACCCAGAUGUUCUUCACAACAGCUACUCUUUGAGGGGUAUCCAUUACAAUAAAGACCUCAUCAACCUGGCCGUAUUGCAGGACGCUGAAGGCAAACCUUUCCUGCAUGUGUCCGUCAAGCCUCAGGAGAAACCCGUGAAGCUGUACGCUUGCGAGGCAGGCUGCAUGAACGAGCCCGUGGAACUGACCUCAGAGCUGCGAGGUCACAUGUUUCCUGUGAUGGUCACCCAGCCCAUCACGCCUCUGCUUUACAUCUCCACUGAUCUUACUCACCUGCAAGACCUGAGACACACGAUGCACGUCAAGGCCAUCUUGGCUCACGAGGACCACAUGGCCAAACAGUACCCAGGCCUGCCCUUCCUCUUCUGGUUCAGUGUGGCAUCCCUCAUCACGCUUUUCCACCUCUUCCUCUUCAAACUCAUCUACAAUGAGUACUGUGGGCCUGGAGCCAAGCCGCUCUUCAGGAGUAAGGUAUAGACGGCGACGUGAAGACAAGCCAUUUUUGGGGGUAGUAAUGGUGGUGUAUGUGAAUCUCCUCUCCUUUUUCCUCUUGCUCUCAUUUUGUGCAAUUCUCAAAUUCUGCCUUGCAAGAUAUUUUUACCUCUGGAAACUAAGUGACAAUAAUUGGUUUGGGUAACCCAUCAAACUUUCAAUCUGCUGUAAUUGGAGGGUCGGGUGUGCUGGAAAUAGUUGUCUGCAAUCUUCAGUUUGGGUGUUCUCUCUCUCUGAACUUUUUGAUGAGCUGAAAGCACCAGUGCUCUAAAGACACUAUUUGGAUGAUGUUACUGUCUGAAGCCUAAUCCAGUGUGCAGAAACAUUAAAUAUGGCUCUAUCUCUGGAUGUCCUCUCAGGAUGUAGCAAUGUAUAUAAGACAUGUUUUUCCGUUUUGCUGUGUGAAUUUAAUAAUGAACAUAAGCUGAUUUUUGUUGAGGAUUAUGUAAUGAUGGUUAAAAUAUGACGACUAUUUAGAAGUGCUAAGUCGUGUGUAAAAUAAUGAUAAACUAUCAUCAAUUAUGAAGGAUCCAAACAAGCUUUGUAUUAAUUCAUUCUUUUAGCUUAUAAACAAGCACAGUAAUACAAUUUUAAUGGGGAAAAAAUCAAAUAUGCAACUCCUAAACAUGUUCAAACCUCCAUUGAUUUUAUGUGAAUUCAACUAAAAUAUUUUGCCUAUUUUUUAAUCAUGAUGAAAUGGAAGUAGCAACAGUACGUUCAUCCCUAACGUACAUCCAAGUUAAAUGGGUUAUCGAAAAAUAAAAUGGGUGGUACUUGGUGGUUCUACUCAUUGGCUGUUGAUUGGAUUUUGAGAUGUGGACGUUGCACUUAAAGUGAUCGUUCACCCAAAAAUGAAAAUCAUUUACUCGCCCUCAAGUUGUUCCAAAGCUGUAUGAAUUUCUUUCUUCUGCUGAACACAAAAGAAGAUACUUUGAAGAAAGUUGGCAAGUUGAUGGGCCCUAUAGAAGUCAUUGGGGCCCAUCAACUUUUUGGUUACCCAUAUUCUUCAAAAUAUCUUCUUUUGUGUUCAGUCGAAGAAAGAAACUCGUAAAGGUUUGGAAUAAUCUGAGGGUUAGUAAAUAAUGACAAUUUUCUUUUUUGGGUGAACUAACCUUUUAAAAAUGAAUGCGAGCUUGCAGUCGAUUGUGUUUGGGUGAGAUUUAAGGGGACAAAAUGAUUGGAGAAGUCGAAUCAUUCACAGUAAGAUCUUAUUAGGAAAUUAAUCUGACACCUGGUUAUAGUAAAAAUACUGGGAAGAUGGAAUAUUGCUUGUAUUUAUUUGAAAGAUCUCUGAGCAUCACUGACAGAGACUAAAGUCUCUUUUCUUUUCUUAAUAAUAUCAGGCCAUCACCGUUGUGCUCAAAUUACAUGCAGAUGAUAUUAGUAUGUCUCUGUGUCCUGUUUGUUGUGUGCAGUCAACAUGGCUUAAGUCUACUGAAUAAUGUCCUAUAAUGUUUAAAAGAAAAUAAAUGUGGAAUUUCUCUGACUUAGUUUGUCAUUCAGCUGAUGCUUUUAUCUUAAGUAACUUUUAGUAACGCUUUUUUAGACAGUCUCUACUCAGAGACACAAUGGUGCUUGUUAAUUGGUGAUGUCUGAAUUCACAGUCUUUCUGCUAACAAUAUGAAAAAAAUAAACCAUGGGCUUCCCCACCCAGUCGCAGGCUGCAUUGAGUUUAAUUGCAAGAAACCUAGACAAUAGGCUGCAUCUUCAUUUGGCAGAUAAUAGCAAAUGUAUCACACAGGUUUGUCUGCUCUGAUAGGCUCUUUUUUUGUUUUUGUUUUUUUGUUCUAACUGCAGGUAUGAACAAUUGCAUUUGUAUACUUGUGCUACUUUGAUGUCUCUGAAAAAAAGGGGGAAGAUGCUCUAUUGAAAAUUGAAACAAUACACUUAAAAGCAACUUAAUAUAUUUAUGUUUGAGACAAGAACAGUUAUAUGGUGUAAAUUAUGCAAAAUUAAACACAUUUACCAAAAAAGUAAUAUGAUCAAGUUGUAAUAAACUGUUCAUCCUGAUUCAGACCUCAAACAAAUGACAUUCACUCAACAUGAUUUUUACUGCUCUUCAGUUUAUUAAAAUAAGCUAAUGCAACAA